rnacentral:rRNA from 1 species
CGUCUGGUGGGGACAGUGGCGAACGGGUGAGUAACACGUAGGUGACCUGCCCCGGAGUGGGGGACAACCGUUGGAAACGGCGGCUAAUACCCCAUAAGCUCACAUGCUUUAGAAAAGUGUGAGAAAAGUUCCGGCGCUUUGGGAGGGGCCUGCGGUCCAUCAGCUAGUUGGUGAGGUAAUGGCUCACCAAGGCGACGACGGAUAGGGGGCCUGAGAGGGUGGUCCCCCACACUGGAACUGCGACACGGUCCAG